UCUAAAUAUGAUCGCGUGUGUAUUACUUCUUUUAGACUUAUAAAUGCGGGCUACUUUGACCUAAUAAUUCCACUGAUCUUUUAUUUGCCACAAAUAUUACAGCUCAUUCAGACAUUUUAAACAUACCACUUGCCGUUUUGUCUGGGAUAUAAUUAAUUAUCCAUUUUGCUUUCUGGACUAGGACAAUUCCUAAAGUCUAGGGCUUUUCCCUCAGCAACAGCGACACGUAGGCAGAGUUCUCAAUUACACCGCAUUUUUCAUCAUGAAGUUGUUGAGAUGUGUCAAAAUUCAAGAGACAUUCCUUUUAGAGCAAGGCUAAAAUAUGCAGGUAAUCUGAACAAGUUUUUGGAGGCCACCAGAGUGGAUAAAGGUGAUAUAAUAUGUAAAUGAUAAAUAUGCUAUAAAAGAUAAAAACAAUACAAUAUUUUAGUUAUUUAAGGAAAGGAAACCCUAGUUCUAGCUCAUAGACUAAAAUAUACCAUUGUUGCACUCGCGAUUUAUAAGACAAUUCUACGCACAUGCCCCAAGUGCCAGGGCAAGAAGAGUUCUGGCACUUUGGGCAUGAAGGACGGUGCCCAGCAAGGUUGGCGCCUGAGGAAACGGAAAGAUAGGUGAUACUGAUCCUGCCUGUAUUUUAGAUUGUGAUUAUUUUGUUCCUCAUGGAGUGUUUGUUCUAGUCGCAAAAAUACUGCAUGAAAGCCCCGUCUUGACGUCGGGAUUUUGGGCUCCCCCUUAAACGCUGCGUCUAAAGAGAGGGAACGUCCCCUCGCUCAAGUCCGGGCUCUGCUGAAAAAGUCACCCUCUAAACCUUCCUGCGCGACCCUAAAACCGAGGCAGGAAUCAUUAAGAGGAUCAUUGAAAGGACCGUGAGAGAGAACACGGGUAACAGGGAAGGUGAACACACAGGGACCCCGACAAAGCGUUACGCAGCUCCAGACAGAGUCAUUAUAGUAAGCAUCACGCUUAAGGAGGUCAGGGUGAGAGAAAGCGUGGCAAUCCCAUAAACUGACGCUGGAAACCGAAGCAGAGGCCUCGGAGGGAGGUGAGGAGGUGACACGCCCGUCGCCACCUAACCGUAUUUAAAGGACAGGGCUUCCAAUCGCCGCCCAGGCAGGCAAUUUCCUUUCCAGCUUUCAUAAUUAAUCUUCAUUUGUAAACUGUUUGUCUUCAGAUUUUCCCGUCUCAGUUCCUAAAAGCUCCAUUCACCGAAAAUGAGAAAUUAAUUUAGGAAGAAACCCUUUCUUGUUUCCCUCUUUUUAGCUCAAACGACACAAGUCCUACAAAUAGACCCGCUGCACACGAGGAUGGCUCCUGAAAACGUUGGGGGCGUAAGCCUUCUGAGGCAAGGUAGGGGGAACUUUCUAGGCCAAAGGAAGGUGAGACGCCUCCUGUUCUCAGCAGCUGAUGAGGGCUUGCCAGCUGGUUAGAAUUCAAUGCUAAUUGCAUCUUAAGACACCACCUCUGCAACCCUUUCCCCCACUCAGGAUCUUGCAUCGAGGGCUCGCAUUUUCUGCAAAAACCUCUGCAUUUCACCUCUCUCACUCGGCACGUUCUGAGCGUCAGAAGGGUUCGGCUCAGAGCCUGUCUUUCCCCCGCAGGUUUUGCUCUGGGCUGCGGGUGCUCACAGCCGGGAAAGCGGGCCUGCCCUGCUCCUGGAGGAAGAUGGACAGCUAACAUCGGGGCUUCGGUGACUGGGUGCAGCCUCGCCCCUUCCACCCGAGACUCAUUAAACAACUUUCCAGUGCCAUUCAGAGAACUUAUAACAGAAUCAAUGGAUUCUCAUCCUCCGCUUUAUUAGCUGUGAUUUAGGAGAGAGCCUGGCCCUGUUGACACAGCUGUAACGUGUCAGGACCUGUAGUACAUUAUUGGCCUGAGGCCCCCACUUUCAGUCCAGUCUCGGCUGAAUCAAUCUGCUCUCACACAGGUUCCCUCAAGGAAGCGCGGCCGCAUCUUACGGGCAGAAAGCCCUUCGCAUCCAGGGGAGAAGAGUCUCGCUGGAGGGGCCAGUCCGCCUUCCCAGAGCAGCCCUGACGCUCACAGCUCUCGGCAGGUCCCCAGAGGGGCACAGGGCCCCACAUGCCUCUUAGCUGGAACCCACCGCUUUGCUGCUGGGGGAGCCCCGCCUCUGCCAGCGGGCAUCGCUGGCUGUUUAACAUGUGUUCAGAGCACUGCCAGGCUAACAUGGCUGCUCCUAAUACUUUAAUUGCAGUUUCAUGGAAACAAAUUGCUAUUUAACUGCAAUAAGCAUUUCUGUGACUUGGCUGGACUGACAAUAGGUGAGUCUUAGUAACAAAGUGACAAGGAACAUCGACCUGUAAAUAGUCUGUGUUUCCAACUGGGUCACAGGUGGAAGCGCCCGGGAAAGAAACUCCUGGGUGAAGGGGGCUGUGGACUCGCUUUUCUCCAUCUGUAACAGUGGUUCAGGCUACACCGAAGCUUUUCACCAGAGGGUCUUGAUAUCCAAUGCCCGGAUCCGCUGUUUGUUAGACAAUUUUGUGGCCCUGAGAAAUAAUUUAUAUAAAUACAGUAGUGCACACACUGCCGUCUAACUGAAUUGACAUUUAAGCCAUUUAAUUUAAGAGCUUCAUUUGAGAUUAUUAGUUGUUCCAAAUAUCAGUGCUAAUAAGGGCAAAUGAAUUUAAAUACAGUUAAUACUAAAAGGAUGACAAUUUCGCAGGCUUCAUGUCGGUGUGACAGUUUUCUCAUUUUGUAUUUUAUAAGACGCUACAGUCCGCCUUAAACUCUUUCCUAAUAAAUCAUGAGGAGCUGGAAAUAGUUUCUGGAGGCAAAUGAUUUGGUUUGGAGAAGCUUCAUGCAGGCUCUGCUGCCUUUCUGACUGUGUAAAUCUAACGAGACAGAGAGGUAGGAAAACACUAAACCCUCUCAGAGGAUGAUCUUUUACAAAAUUGUUUCAUUAGCAAGAGUGACAAUUUGCAUGCUCGAGACAUUUAUUAGGACCAUAAACUUGGGUUUUUUUUAAUCAGGACUUCAGCUGGGCUCCACACCAUUUGCUUGCCUUUUGCACCGCCCUCGCUCGCAGGGACUGGGGGCCGUCUUGCUCGACGACGUGGUUGGGCUGAGAUGCGUCCUCUCAAAAGAACAGAGCACCUCUCACUCACAUCACAAACGCAUCGAUGAAAGGUGAACAAGCGCGUGGGUUUUGGUUUUCUUCCCCCUCAGCAGCGUUGGGGUUGGGGGAGGAGGAACUCAAGCACUGUUCACAUCAGAAUAAGCCUGCGAGUUUUCAGGAGCUUUCUAUCUGCACUGAGCAUCCCCAUUAGAGCCGGGGUGUAUUGUCUGAAAUGCCUCUGGUUUCAAGGAAGGUUUUACCUAAAGCAAGACUACUACUUAAACAUGGCCUAUUGUAUAUUCAUGGCUCCAUUAGUCCUUCUCCCAUUUAGCACAUCAAAGAGAAGCCUUCAUCACCAGCAUGUGGUUACACUAACAAGAGUGACAUUUGUAAUCUUAGAGGCCUGCAACUUGGGAAGUGCUUUUAGAAGCUCGUUAUUAAAGACGCAGCAAGUGCUUGGGGAACGAGCCACGUAACAGUUCAUUUAACAUCUUUAGUGACCUUACCCUCCACAUCACUAAACGCCACACUGUACCACUGACCAAAGGUUAUUAACUGCCUCCUUUGAAUUUCCACACCGCACGGGACACGAGUGCUCACGCCAAAGAGAAUUAGAGAAGAUGCUUGCAUUCUUAUUAACACACGUCUCCUUUCCGUCCUGCGGAGUCCACACUGCCUCGGAGUAUCCAGAGGGGGAAACAAAAAAACUUGAGACCCAGAACUAAUUCUGAGCCAUUCCCCAAGGAUCCAGCUGAAACAGGUAUUGUUAUUCAUGCGAUUGUGUUCACUGUAUUUUUUUAUCCUGCAUUUUCUUUCUCUAAAACUCGAAUAAAACUAUUCCCUUUAACUCUCUGCCUUGAAAUUCUCCUACAGGAGGUUUAUAGGGUGUUUUCAGUUUGAGUAACGAUUUUGCCUCUUGGCCUGGAAUCUCUGAAAGCAGAUCCCACAGGGAGGCGGACUGGUAGCGGAGAUGUGGCCAGCCAGAUGUCUACAGAACCCACGCCUCUUCUCAGCGACGGUGUGUCUCUAUCUGGAGCUUUUCCGGACCAAGAGAAAAUAAAAGAUGCCAUUUUUAGGAAGAAAAUGUAAAGCAGCAUUCUGAACACACCUGGUUUUACUGAUCUCUGAUAGGAGCUGUCAUUGAGACCGGCUCACAAAGAACCAGCCUGGCAGGGCAGGCUUUGGGGCCUUGCCUCCUGCCAGCACCGGCCCUGGGCUCAGUCCUUGGCCCACACGUGCUUUCUGCAGGACACCUCGGCAGGCAACGCAGGCGCUGUUGGGGAGACUCUGCUGCCUAGAACUAGCCACUAAAUACCUCAAGACUACCACCAGAUGAAUCCAAAUCCUCCCCCAAACACAUGGAAAGGCAGGGUCAGGAGGAGAGCGGAAGAACCGAACAAAAUAACUCAUCCAGCAGACCACACGUGUCUUAAAGCUCAGCAGGAGAUGGCUGCUCCCCCACAGAAGAGAACCCGAGGUCCCUAACCGCCAGUGGAACCGCACCAGCUGCACAGGCAGGCUUCAGAACAGCCAUUUCCUCAGCGGCUAUCAACUUGCUGAGAGUAGGAGAUGGUCACGCCUCAUUCUUCGCCACGCUUCCCAUCCACGCCCAAGACUCUCCUAUUGAGGAAAAAAAAGAACAGACCACACAGCCGAAGGGUCAAACCCAUGUGUAUGAAUAUAAACACACAAGGCCCGCUGUGAUGGGGCGGAAGUGUGAUGACGUGCCACUGACAGCGGGCUCUGAACCCACACAAAGGAGUCCGUGAGAAACAGGGCUGUGUACCCCUGCCCAAAACAGCAAAGCCCAGUAAUUUGAGGACUGCCUGCUGAGUCAGAAAUAAAGAAAGCACCUCCCCUCAACCCCUAAGAUUUAAAGUGAGCCUGGUGUGGAACAAAAAAACUCAAGUUUUUUCCAAAAUACAGAUGAGAAAAAGCAGUGUUUAAACCCAAACGCCAUCAAAUAUUUUUUCUUUUAAGUUUUUAUUAUUUAAAUACACCAUACUAGAGCAAAUGUCUCUGAAAAUAUCACAAAUAAAAGAUUUUUUUUUUCUUCAUUCAGCAAAUUAGAAGUAGGGGGAAAUUUCUACACAGUAGCUGCUAGGAGCCUGAUUUUUUUUUUUUCCAAUGAUUUUUUUUUUUUCUUUUUUUCAUUCUUUUUUUUUCCUUUGCCAUGGGAGUAGCAACAUCAGGACAAAAACACUUACAUGCAUAUACAUACAUUGUAUUUUACAGAGAGAUACAAUAAAAGUGUUUGUGAUAGAAUAUCACAAAAGCCACAUCUUUCCUUUAUCUCAUGUUCAGUUUUGAUUGAAACACAUUUCCUUACGACACUUAAAUAUACAAAGAGCAAAGAGAAUGUUGGAAAGGUAAAACGCAGGGUGCCAACUCUGGCCAGUGCCCUGCUAAUUGUUAAUGAGGGUAGAAAGCAGAUUUGAAUGCUUCUUUUAAUUAGCUUCAUUAGUCAUCUCCCGCCUCCCAAGCUCCCUCCCCCCCAAAGAUGUCCUCCGGUGGAUCUUUUUUCAUUUUCUCUACAGUCUCCCAUUAGCCCAGGUUCAUGGCGUCCUUAAUGUUCAUAUUCAGUCAUUUUAAUACACCAAUAAAUGCGGGAAGGGCAAUCAAGACUAAAGAAGGUGCAAUGGCAUGGAGCUGGCACUGGUGCUACAAAGGUGACUUGUCUACUGAAGACACAGGGGAUCCACCUGCGAUGAACAAAAUC